rnacentral:lncRNA from 1 species
UGUAAUCAAGGUGGCUAUUUGGUUAGUGGGCUUGGUGAACAAGGAAUGCCUCUAUCUUAUCAUAAGUGCAUCACACUACUUAACAGUAUCAAAGAGAAUUAGUCCAAGUUCUGGGAUGCUAAUAUCCUAUGUGCAAUCACACAAAAGAAAUCAUAGGCUCAAAACUCACUAGGUUCUAUUAACAUGUAAGAACUGAUUUUAGAACUGGUCUCCCAAUAAUUUAUUAUGUGCAAUCACAGUAAAGAAAUCAUAGGCUCAAAACUCACUAGGUUCUAUUAACAUGUAAGAACUGAUUUUAGAGUUGGUCUCCCAAUAAUUUAUGCAUUUUCACCUCAAUUAACUUAUUCUAAUAGGUUAUACCGUCUAAAUACGCAUGCAGAUCAAAGAAACUCACUAAAAAUCAGUAAAACAGCAAAAGAUCUAGUUCUAUACAGCUGGUAAAGGGCUGAGUUUUCUCUCAAAGCAUCUCCAUGGUAAAAUAUUUUUUUCGAUGCCUAAUUAUCUUGUUAUUGUUACUUAGGAUUUAGGAACAUAAUUUAGUUUUCACCCUUAAAUUUUUUAACUUUAAAAACCACUGCAAAAGAAAACUUAAAAAACCAACACAACCAUCUCAUUAAUGAUGCAUCAUGAGCACAAUGUACGGGUCUUAUUACUUACUAUAGAAUCUGAAAUGUGGGAGACCACAUCUAUCUCCAGAAAAUUAAGAGACAAUACAAGGAGGUACACAUCCCAUCAAGUAAAAAUUAAAAUUCUAACACCAUAAGUAGCUAAACUAUCCAUAAACUUCAGAAACAUUACCAAAUACAGGUAACAGUUGAGCAUAGUUGUUCCCUCAAUUAAAAUUUUAGAAUGUCAAAUAAUCUUAGCACAAAUGCACAGUAAAAGAAAAAAGGUGACAUGCAACAGUAGCAUUUUGAUAAAUAAUAAUAUUAAAGAAAAAACAAAAAAUACAGUGACCACAGCAAUCACACCAAUGCUUACUUUUAGAUAUAAAAUCGUGCCAAGAAUAAACUAUAUUACUCUCUUUUAUAAUAUCCUUUAUCAGGUCCACCAGUGGCCUUAUCUACAAACCACAAAAAUACGACAAUCAAAACAUACAGGCAUAUGAGCUCACCACCAGUAUAUGUGUCUUCAUCAUACACACACAUGAACAAACAGAAAGGAGAAAUAUCUCUAACAUUUGCAUACAAAACAAACCUUUGAUCUGGGAUGAGGCUUUUGGAAAAAAGGAAAAGUUUUGUGCCAAGGCCAACUAAGCACAAAGCAAUGGAGUGACCUUAAGAAAAGAGAGGAAUAAGCAAACAGAAUAAAAUAAAAACGAAACAGCCAAAGAUGGUUAUCAAAUAACUUAUACCACAAAUAACUUAUGAAUGUGGUGCUUUUCCAUUAUCAUUGCUUGCAGCUUCCUGAAGUCCACAGGAGUAAAUGACGAAUUCAUACUUUAAUACCAAAAGGAUACACACAAAUUCUAACUUAAUGAAAAUUAGAGUAGAGAAAUCUAAAAAUCGAGAGUAAAAAAUUUGAGCUAGUACUUGAAAGAUACACAGUACAUUAAACUUAAUCCAGCAUAGAAUAAAUUAAG